ensembl:snRNA U6 U6 spliceosomal RNA
GUACUCGCUUCCGCAGCACGUAUACUAAAUUGGAAUGAUAAAGAGAAGAUUAGCUUGGCCCCUGUGCAAGGAUGACAUGCAGAUUCAGGAAGCGUUCUUGAAUUUU